rnacentral:lncRNA from 1 species
UAUAUAUAUAUAUAUAAUAUAUUUAGAAAUAUCAAUAAUAAAUUUCAUCGAGUAAGUAAAUUUUGAUGCAAUAAAGAAUAUCACAUCAUCACUAGAAAUAACAACUAAAUAUGAUAAUUUGAAAUAAAACAUUUUGGCUUAUUAGAGCUUUACAAUAAUCCUCAUAAUAUAGCAGCAGACAUAAUAUUUUCUCAAGAUCGAAUAAAUAAGUCAGACUAAUUUGUUACACUCAACCCUGAUCUCAGAAUUUUGAAGACUUAAAACACAAUUUGAACAUAAACAUGAAUACAACAAACUUUAAAGGAAAAAAAAAAUAGUUGAGUGUAUAAUUCUCCACUUUAUUCUUAUGAAUAAACACCUCAAAAUUGCUACUUAGUAUUGCCGAAAUGCCCUGCAUGUUAUCCAUAUAAGAUAAACACUUAGAAAAUCAAGAGUGAUAUAUGUUUCACAUCACUUAAAGUGUAUAACAAUAUCAAUGUAUAAAAUAAGCACACAAAGAUACAUUCAGAACAAUUGCUCUAGUCAUGGUUUAUAUUCAACUUACGAAGAAUAAAUUUUCCUUACUUUAAUACGUCUUGUCACAAUAAUAGGUUCGCAUAUUCUAUUACAUAAUAAUCAUGUUUCAAUCAUUUUAUUUUUAACCUCAUUGUAUUCCUAUGUAUCAUACUUUCUACUUGACUAAUAGUUUAUCGUUUGCAAAAAAAAAAAAAAAAAUCUUAGUGGUCUAUCACUAGUUUAUAAUCACCAGGUCUUUAUAUAAGAUUAAAAUCAAAGAUACUCACAUGAUAGUUUAAUCAUACAAUAUAACUUAACACACACUUUGAGAGAACUAAUGUAGGCUUAAUUUCAUUACAAUAACAAUAAAAUAUGGAUAUUUUUUAGCACAAUAUUUUCCAUUAUAUUGAAAUUCCUAUUUCAUCUCCUUUAAAUUCACCACAUAAAAUAAAUAUUAUAAUUCACAUAAAUUCAUCACCUAUAUCACACUAGGAAAUCUAAUCAUCAUAUAUUACCUAGGUAAAAUUUAUCAAAUAAUCCUACAAUCCUAAACAUGUUGAAUUUAACUAAACUUUAAAUAUUUAAUAAUUGAUAAUAACCAUGAACAAUUUAUUUAAAAUGUCAAAACCACAAAGCAUGGAUGAAACUAGGAUCAGGGCCAUACCCUUCAUCCAGUACAAUUGGUGUAUUCACUAGGCGAAAUAAUAUCUCUUUUACCUAAAUGAAGAUAGUAAUACCCCUUUUAAUCAAUUUAUCCCUUCUUUUAAAUUCCUAAUGAUUUGGAGAUUUUUUCACAAUAAAGUCUGAUUAAGGAAAAUUUACGUUGUAUUGGUUUCUAUAUGGUUCUCAAGUGUAAUUUUGUUUUCAAGAUUUUUUCACAACUUAUAUUAAUGUUCUGAUGCAUAUCUAUAAAAAAUUUGGUAACCACGACGUAAGAUUGUAAUUAUUGUUGCGAUUAUGAUUUUUUUUCAAUGUUAUCUAGUUUUGCAAAAACACUAAUUUGUUUGACAACAAGAAUAUGUGUUUUAGUCCAUCUUCUAAUUUGGUGUGCUAGAAUACUUUUCUUGUUGUUUAACAUACCAAGUGCUUUUCUUACACUUCUAUGUAUCAAUUUGUAAUUGUUAUGGAAUGUUUAGCUCAAAUUCAUUCACCUAUUGCCCCUUGUAUAAGUAAGUUCUUCGACAUCCUCUUGUGUUUUUUUUUUUUUUUUUUUUUUGCGUUAAGUGUAACAUUGAUGGCAUUGAUAAAGUCUUCACAUGAUCACUUGCUUCUAAAGGAGUUUUUAAACGUAAAAAAGUAUACUUCAAAGCUUUGUUUCCUUGAACUUAAACAUUAGUACUAAUUUUCAAAACGAGCUCCAUGGUGAUAUCAUUUAUGUUCACAUUGCAUCUAAUAAAAUUGGCAUUGUCUUUAUUUGGAGACUGACCAAAAGAUUGUUAAUUUGACUUUCAAAAAUCAAGUCACUGUUUCAUGGACUCAAAGAAACAUGUGGUUGAAUUUUAUUGAUCUAUAAAAGAACAUAAAUUUAUGUUUAGAUAAAAUCUCAUCAAUUGGUUUUUAACAUACAAAUUUAGUGUAGUUGGAUGACAUUCCUUCUAGUAUUUUGGAUCCAUAUACCAGUAAUAGAUUAGGAUUUUUUAAGUUUAUUUUUCUUUUAUGGAUGAUUUGUCAUGGAUUUUCUAUUUCAUGUGCUGUUUAUUUUCUUUACACUCCUUCCCUUUCUCAGGACUUAUCCCAUUCAGUUUUCUUAAGAAAGUAUAUAAUGAGGGCUUUAUGUCUAGAAUAUAAAGGACGGUUUACUGGUGUUGGUUUAAGAAAAUGUAUUGUUAGAUAUAAGGGUUUUAAAGAUAAUCCAGACUUGAUGUUAUUAUAAAAAUAUUGGAAGGACUUGGAUAAAGGGUGUGACAAUAGUCUAAGGUUAUUGAGUAAAUUAAUGUUUGAGAUAUUAUUAAUAGGGAUGUGCAGAAACAUGUGACCCGCCUGAAAACCGAGGAACCCGAUAGUGGAAAAAACAAACUCGGUGGGUUGAAAGGGGAUCAAACGGGUUACAAUAUUCAAUCUCAAACAGUGGUUAACGGAUAGACGCAGGUUUGGAAAAUUUGAUCAAUCGAUAUCCACAACCGACCGAAUACAUGGGUGAUUAUAAAAGCAUGCCUUGUUCAAUCAUAGUUUUUAUAAAAGCAUGCCUAUUUAUCUAAACCUGUAAACCACACCUACUUCUUUUUCUUCAUAUCUACAAAAGCACUGUAUCCAUAGAAUUAAAGCACCCAUUACUGAGUAUAUCUAUGACACGUUUAAUUAGAGUCAAAGUGAAAAUGACAUGUUCAACUUUUCAUUACACUACCAUAUUAAAAAUUAAUACUUAAUUCAUCUUGUUCUUUUAUACAUAUUUGAAGCCAUGUUGAGAUAAAGUUAUCUGAACUUCUUUUUCUCCCUUCACAACCUUUCCUUCUUCGUGAUCUCUCUAUGAAGCACCUCUUCCUUUAUUUUCCAUUCUUAUAAAAAAGGUUGUUGUGCAGAAAGCUUAAACCAAUACUUUCUAUUGAGUUCAUGCUCUCUCUUUCUAUAAGCAUUCUGUUUUUUCUUCUAUAUGAUCUCAGAGAUGAAGAUAAUGCAUCAUCACUUCUCUAUUUUUGUUUUAGUUAAAUCCCGAAUAAACCCACCCGUAGAAAUCCGUGAUCCGCACAGCCCAUAACCCGUCAAAGCCGAAGCUUGAAAUUGUCAUAAUUGGUUUUGAGUUUUGCACUCUAGGUUUGAUUCGGGUGAGCCAUUUUUGACCCAAACCCGACCGAACCCGUACGGUGCUCAACCCUAAUUAUUAAGUUAUAAGAUGGUAUAUGAAAUAAUUGUGCAUAUGAUUUG